GUUAAGUAUGCAUGAAGAUGAAGCUGUCGCAGGCCUCGUUUAAGGAGGAUUUUCCUUCUUCCUGGUUCCGGGACCCUCCGGGUUUUCUCCCACCCACCCGUUAUUCCUUGUAGAAUAAACCCCCGCCUGGACGUGGCCAGCACCUCGAAGAAGUGGCACAUGGCCUACCACGGGACGAGCAUCGGAGCCGUGCGCCGCAUGUUGGAUCAAGGGGAACUGGUGCCUGGGAUCACGUCCAUCUUGAGCUGCCGCCCGGUGAAGGCUGAUCCACAGGGAGGGGGCCCGGGCAGCGGCCCCAAUGGGGUCUACCUGGAGGCGGAGGAGAACAGCGUCCAGGGGCGCGAGGAAGCCCACCAUGUCCUUCUCUCGCCCACCCUGCGCUACGCGGGACUGGAGCCUUUUGCCACCAAAGUGCAAUUCAAAGACCCAAAAUCUCACCGACAGCACUCGGCCCAGGUGGCGUUGCAGGUAUGCGUCCGUCCGGGCUCCUACAAGGUCUGCCCCCCCACCCAGGCCGCCCCCGAGCCCGUGGACCCCCGCUUCAGCAGUGCCGAGAUCGAGUGGGUCACCAAGGAGAAAGGUGCUACGGUUCUCUUCGGCCUGCUCAUCCGUGUGGAGUGAGACCACCAAACCUUUCCCUCCGGCCGCCUUCGGCCCUCCGCGGUGUUGCCAAACCCCCUCACCACCACAACGGCACAGAACCGGCUGGAAACGGCAAGAGGAGAAGGAACGGUGGGGGGGGGGGGGGGGGGGCAGCGGUGCGGCGGGGGGGGGGGGGGGGGGGGGGGGG
rnacentral:lncRNA from 1 species